rnacentral:rRNA from 1 species
UACGGGGGGGGCAAGCGUUGUUCGGAAUUACUGGGCGUAAAGGGCGCGUAGGCGGCCUUCUAAGUCGAACGUGAAAUCCCCGGGCUCAACCCGGGAACUGCGUCCGAUACUGGAAGGCUUGAAUCCGGGAGAGGGAUGUGGAAUUCCAGGUGUAGCGGUGAAAUGCGUAGAUAUCUGGAGGAACACCGGUGGCGAAGGCGACAUCCUGGACCGGUAUUGACGCUGAGGCGCAAAAGCGUGGGGAGCGAACAGG